rnacentral:lncRNA from 1 species
GAGACCGAUAAGGUGAAGGAGGAGAUUAUAGUUUCAUUGUGUGUUCAGAUAUUAGAAAUAGAGACGAUAUAUUCAGGAGGUAAUUGAUUGUAUGACCCUAACGUGAACGCUUAAGCAACUAGUCAUUCCCUAUGUUCGAAUCUCCCUAUACGGGUUCAUUCUGAGAGGUUUCUUCCGAAAUAAGUAAAACGAGCCAUCACAUUUUGGCGCCGCUGUCAGGGAGUGAUAAUAGCUUUGAGUGUUAGGAAUUUAUUACCAAACGUGUGAGAGAAUUGGCAAUGGAAGAUGAUUUUAGUAGUGUUUGAAGCAAGAUUA